UACGAAGGGGGCUAGCGUUGCUCGGAAUCACUGGGCGUAAAGCGCACGUAGGCGGAUCUUUAAGUCAGGGGUGAAAUCCUGGAGCUCAACUCCAGAACUGCCUUUGAUACUGAGGAUCUCGAGUCCGGGAGAGGUGAGUGGAACUGCGAGUGUAGAGGUGAAAUUCGUAGAUAUUCGGAGGAACACCAGAAGCGAAGGCGGCCAACUGGCCCGAUACUGACGCUGAGGCGCGAAAGCGUGGGGAGCAAACAGG
rnacentral:rRNA from 1 species